rnacentral:rRNA from 3 species
GUCAUAUGCUUGUCUCAAAGAUUAAGCCAUGCAUGUCUCAGUACAAGCCAAAUUAAGGUGAAACCGCGAAAGGCUCAUUAAAUCAGUUAUGGUUCCUUAGAUCGUACCCACAAUUACUUGGAUAACUGUGGUAAUUCUAGAGCUAAUACAUGCAAACAGAGCUCCGACCGGAAACGGGAGGAGUGCUUUUAUUAGAUCAAAACCAAUCGGUGGCGGGUUCGCUCGUCAUCGUACAACUUGGUGACUCUGAAUAAC